rnacentral:rRNA from 1 species
CCUACGGGGGGCUGCAGUGGGAAAUAUUGGACAAUGGGGGGAACCCUGAUCCAGCCAUGCCGCGUGUGUGAAGAAGGCCCUCGGGUUGUAAAGCACUUUCAGUGAGGAAGAACGCCUGGUGGUUAAUACCCAUCAGGAAAGACAUCACUCACAGAAGAAGCACCGGCUAACUCCGUGCCAGCAGCCGCGGUAAUACGGAGGGUGCGAGCGUUAAUCGGAAUUACUGGGCGUAAAGCGCGCGUAGGUGGCUUGAUAAGCCGGUUGUGAAAGCCCCGGGCUCAACCUGGGAACGGCAUCCGGAACUGUCAAGCUAGAGUGCAGGAGAGGAAGGUAGAAUUCCCGGUGUAGCGGUGAAAUGCGUAGAGAUCGGGAGGAAUACCAGUGGCGAAGGCGGCCUUCUGGACUAACACUGACACUGAGGUGCGAAAGCGUGGGUAGCAAACAGGAUUAGAUACCCUAGUAGUA